UAAACGAGAUUCAAGUGUGAAUUAAAGUGCUUUGAGGCUAGUCAUGGAUAAUUUUCUAAUUAGUCCUUAAUCUUAUGUUAGUCCUGUACCUUUAUAAUUGGUGCUAUUUCUUACGAAGUAACAAAUAAGGUCUCUAAAAUUGUGUCAAGUUUCAUUAAAAUAUAUUUAAGCUUUGUGUUAGGAGCUAAGGUAAUCUUAACAUCCACUCUUUUAUGGAUUACACUUAAAUUUCCAUUAAAGUAACCAAGGUAUUCUGUUUUAACCAAAGAGCUAGGAAUCAAGCUGUGGUUUUCGACUGUAAACUUCCCAGUAGGCCCAGUGCUCAGUGGCUAUUGUUAAGCUUCAAAAGGUCCUUAGGGAUUGGACAACAAGUGACAUUGGAACAUCAGGCCAGUGCCAGUGCUCAGUGGCUAUUGUUAAGCUUCCCGUCCAGUUUUUUUUUUGGCAGAAUGUUCUCAUCUAGUAUGAAGAAAGGGAUUGGACAUCAAGUGACAUUGGAACAACUUUCUGAAGGUCUAGGUAUUCAAUAAUCCGAGGGAGCAGCCUUUCACCUUUGUGGAGAUAGAUGAAGUUUUGAAAUGUUGGCAAAAUUCAUUCCCAGUGAUUGUCUUUGAUAUUUUCUUGUACUGAAUCUUAAAUUAUGUAUGCUAGCUAGUUUUUCAUAUGAUUGUAAUGUAAUUGACUUUUAUAUUUACAAUUAUAUACUAUUUAAUUUAAUUAUCUAUA